CUAACCAAACUUGUCGAUAGCCCCGUGCAAACGGGUUAAAAGGGAAUAUCGUACCUCUGCUUGCAGGGUAGUCGGUAGCUGCGCCCGCAACUGUAAGCAGUAAUGGUAUAAAGCAAAGUGCCACAUGGCAGACCACUGGUGCCAAUACAUACCGGGAAGGUGGCUUUAUACCGAUGAUCUGCAAGCCAGGAGACCUGCUAUUGUCGUACAGAAACG
rnacentral:ncRNA from 2 species